CAAGAGCCUGAUAGAAGAAAAAGAAAACGCCCUUAUCAUCAACACGUUAUUUAUGCAGAAUGUGGCUGAUAUAGAGAGAAAAGUUAAGUGGAUUUUAGCCUCAAGUACAAGCAGUUGAAGCAUUUUGCAGGGAAGGUGCCAAAAGCAAAAGAGAUGCACCAGCCCCAAGCACGAAAUUCAUAAUUAUGAAAAGUAAUAGACAAAAGCCAGCUUGUGCAAUUAGCUGAACAACCAGCAGAGCAAGACGAUAAGAUUGCAAGAUUGAUUUGUCAAAGUGCUGACUUAAGGAUAAAACUGACACAGAAAAAGAUAUUCUUCUUUUAGUCUCACUAAGUUUUUGUGAGUGCAGCUGAGUUCAUGAGAUAAGUAUUGACCUAGAUAAAAUAAAAUACAUAAAUCUUGUCAAACGUUUUGUCAUGUUAAGUAUCACUGAGUAUUUUUACAAGUCAUGCUGUAUUUUGACAAGACCAAAGGAUGAGUCAAAAUAUAAACAAUGAGU
rnacentral:lncRNA from 1 species